UUCAGUGAUGAAAUAGCUGCAUAGGAAGUGCCGUCUGAGGCGAAUCUGACGCUGGCUAAAGCUGCUCUGAGA
rnacentral:snoRNA from 1 species